rnacentral:rRNA from 1 species
UACGGAGGGUGCAAGCGUUAUCCGGAUUUACUGGGUUUAGGGGGUGCGUAGGGGGACAGGAAAGUCAGUGGUGAAAUCUUCGAGCUUAACUCGGAAACUGCCAUUGAUACUAUUUGUCUUGAAUACUUUGGAGGUAAGCGGAAUAUGUCAUGUAGCGGUGAAAUGCUUAGAUAUGACAUAGAACACCAAUUGCGAAGCCAGCUUACUACACAGUUAUUGACACUGAGGCCCGAAAGCGUGGCGAUCAAACAGG